GAUGAACGCUAGCGGCAGGCCUAAUACAUGCAAGACGAACGGUAAGUUUGAUAGCAAUAUUGAACCUAGAGUGUCGUAAGGGUGCGUAACACGUAUGCAAUCUACCCUCAACAGGAGGAUAGCUCCCCGAAAGGGGAAUUAACACUCCAUAAGAUCACAGGAUGGCAUCAUUCAGUGAUUAAAACUCCGGUGGUUGAGGAUGAGCAUGCGCAUGAUUAGUUAGUUGGCGGGGUAAUGGCCCACCAAGACGAUGAUCAUUAGGGGAACUGAGAGGUUGAUCCCCCACACUGGGCCACUGAGAUACGGGCCAGGACUCCUACGGGGAGGUCAGCAGGUAGGGAAAUAUUGGACAAUGGGGUCGAGCCCUGAUCCAGCCAUGCCGCGUGCAGGAAGACGGCCUUCUGGGUUGUAAACUGCUUUUGCCAGGGGAUAAAAGCCAUGCGUGGUCAAUUGAAGGUACCUGGUGAAUAAGCCACGGCUAACU
rnacentral:rRNA from 1 species